rnacentral:rRNA from 1 species
CCUACGGGCGGCAGCAGUGAGGAAUAUUGGUCAAUGGGAGAGAUCCUGAACCAGCCAAGCCGCGUGAGGGAAGACGGCCCUAUGGGUUGUAAACCUCUUUUGUCUGGGAACAAAACCCGGGACGUGUCCCGUACUGCGUGUAUCCGAAGAAAAAGCAUCGGCUAACUCCGUGCCAGCAGCCGCGGUAAUACGGAGGAUGCGAGCGUUAUCCGGAUUUAUUGGGUUUAAAGGGUGCGUAGGCGGUCCGUUAAGUCAGCGGUAAAAUUGCGGGGCUCAACCCCGUCGAGCCGUUGAAACUGGCAGACUUGAGUUGGCGAGAGGUACGCGGAAUGCGCGGUGUAGCGGGGAAAUGCAUAGAUAUCGCGCAGAACUCCGAUUGCGAAGGCAGCGUACCGGCGCCAGACUGACGCUGAGGCACGAAAGCGUGGGGAUCGAACAGGAUUAGAUACCCUUGUAGUC